rnacentral:rRNA from 1 species
GGGAACCUGCCUCAAAGAGGGGGACAACAGUUGGAAACGACUGCUAAUACCGCAUAAGCCCACAGCUCGGCAUCGAGCAGAGGGAAAAGGAGUGAUCCGCUUUGAGAUGGCCUCGCGUCCGAUUAGCUAGUUGGUGAGGUAAUGGCCCACCAAGGCGACGAUCGGUAGCCGGACUGAGAGGUUGAACGGCCACAUUGGGACUGAGACACGGCCCAG